rnacentral:rRNA from 1 species
GUCGAGAAUUUUGGGCAAUGGGGGCAACCCUGACCCAGCAAUGCCGCGUGCGGGAUGAAGGUCUUCGGAUUGUAAACCGCUGUCAAGAGGGACGAAACAAAUGACGGUACCUCUGGAGGAAGCCACGGCUAACUACGUGCCAGCAGCCGCGGUAAUACGUAGGUGGCGAGCGUUGUUCGGAUUCAUUGGGCGUAAAGGGUCCGCAGGUGGUCUGAUAAGUCUGACGUGAAAUACCGGAGCUCAACUCCGGAACUGCGUUGGAGACUGUCGGACUGGAGUAUCGGAGAGGAAAUUGGAAUUCCAGGUGUAGCGGUGGAAUGCGUAGAUAUCUGGAAGAACAUCGAAAGCGAAGGCAGAUUUCUGGACGAUAACUGACACUCAGGGACGAAAGCAUGGGGAGCAAACAGGA